GAUUUUAAUGAUCGAACAGAUCAAAAUUUUAAACUUUUGCAUUUAAAUUUUAUCUUAAUCCAACAUCGAGGUCGCAAACUUUUUUUUUUAUUUGAACUAAAAAAAAAUAUUACGCUGUUAUCCCUAAGGUAAUUUUUUCUUAUAAUCAUUAUUAAUGGAUCAUUUAAUCAUUUAUUUAUGUUUAAUUUUUAAAAAAAGUUAAUUUAAUUUUUCUAUCACCCCAAUAUAAUAAUUAAUUUUAUUUCAAUAAAAAUUUUUAUAUAAUUUUAAAAUAAAAAUAAAUAUAAAACUCUAUAGGGUCUUCUCGUCUUUUAAAAUUAAUUUAGCUUUUUAACUAAAAAAUAAACUUCUAAAAAUAAAUAAGAGACAGUUUAUAUUUCAUCAAAUCUUUCAUACAAGUUUUCAAUUAAAAAACUAGUGAUUAUGCUACCUUUGUACAGUCAUUAUACUGCAGCCCUUUAAUUAUUAUCAGUGGGCAGAUUAGACCUUAAAUUAUACUCAA
rnacentral:rRNA from 1 species